UUCAUGAAAUGUGUAAAAAAAAAUUCUCAACUUACGCCGUUAGGUGGCGGAUGGAGAGUUUGUCGAAAGAAUCGUCGGCUGUUUUAAAUUUGUUAACGACAAAAGAAAAUGCCGAAAUACUACUGUGACUACUGCGACACUUAUCUGACACACGAUUCGCCUUCUGUGAGGAAAACCCACUGUAAUGGACGUAAACACAAAGAAAAUGUGAAAUUUUACUAUCAAAAGUGGAUGGAAGAACAGGCCCAAAACUUGAUCGAUGCGACAACUGCUGCCUUUAAGGCUGGAAAGAUACAAUCCGGCCAGUUUGGACAGCCGCCGAAACCUCCAGGUGUCCCACCCGGUGGCGCCAUGAUACCACCUCCUGCUAGUCUGCAAGUGGGUAAUCCCAGGCAGCCCGCACCCAGGAUGCCCAUGGUCGGACCUCCUCCCGGAAUGGGAUCCAUGCCCGGUCCCAUGCCGGGACCGAUGCAGAUGAUGGGUCCGCCCGGGCCCAUGCCGCCAAUCAUGAUGAUGCCAGAUGUACGAUAAUUUCAUUUCAAUACAAAAAUUUUCAGUCGAAUUCAAGUAUACGAUAACGAGUUUCAUGAAAAGAUUCAAAAAAAUCUUUAAUGCGAAUUUCAAUCGCAGACUUCUUCUAUAUAAUAAAAAAUUUCUUGUAUGGGAUUGUAGAUUGUUCUGCGGAAGUCACGUAGCACCGAGUUCUGAAGGACCGAAUGAAAUUGACACAGUAGAUCUCAGGUUCGCCAAAAGUAGAAAUAACUGACUUAUUACAAUUUAUUUCAAUAUGUAGCUUCAAAUAUGUUAAUUUGAAAUUCUAGGAUAUUUUAGAAGAAUUUUAAAUACCAGUUUCCUGUGUAUACUUCAGUUUGUGAAGUUUAUUGUUCGCUUUUCAUACAUGUAAUAACAAGUUUUGGAACUGCAAUUUCAAAAUAUGUACAAUACAUUAAUAAAUUCCCACUG